UACGGGAGGGUGCAAGCGUUAUCCGGAUUCACUGGGGUUUAAAGGGUGCGUAGGUGGGUCUGUAAGUCAGUGGUGAAAUCCCCGAGCUUAACUUGGGAACUGCCGUUGAUACUAUAGAUCUUGAAUAUCGUGGAGGUAAGCGGAAUAUGUCAUGUAGCGGUGAAAUGCUUAGAUAUGACAUAGAACACCAAUUGCGAAGGCAGCUUACUACACGAUCAUUGACACUGAGGCACGAAAGCGUGGGGAGCAAACAGG
rnacentral:rRNA from 1 species